GAACUGAAGAGUUUGAUCCUGGCUCAGAUUGAACGCUGGCGGCAUGCCUUACACAUGCAAGUCGAACGGUAACGCGGGGCAACCUGGCGACGAGUGGCGAACGGGUGAGUAACGCAUCGGAACGUGCCCAGUAGUGGGGGAUAGCCCGGCGAAAGCCGGAUUAAUACCGCAUACGACCUACGGGUGAAAGGGGGGGAUCGCAAGACCUCUCGCUAUCGGAGCGGCCGAUGUCAGAUUAGGUAGUUGGUGGGGUAAAAGCCUACCAAGCCGACGAUCUGUAGCUGGUCUGAGAGGACGACCAGCCACACUGGGACUGAGAGACGGCCCAGACUCCUACGGGAGGCAGCAGUGGGGAAUUUUGGACAAUGGGCGCAAGCCUGAUCCAGCCAUGCCGCGUGCGGGAAGAAGGCCUUCGGGUUGUAAACCGCUUUUGUCAGGGAAGAAACGCUUUGGGCUAAUACCCCGAGGUAAUGACGGUACCUGAAGAAUAAGCACCGGCUAACUACGUGCCAGCAGCCGCGGUAAUACGUAGGGUGCAAGCGUUAAUCGGAAUUACUGGGCGUAAAGCGUGCGCAGGCGGUCUUG
rnacentral:rRNA from 1 species